AGCAACGUAGCACAGCUGGAAGUGCGCCGGUCUCAUAAGAAAUUAUGCAGUUGAGCAAUCCGGAGGUCGCCUGAUCGAAACAAGCCGUUGCUA